UAAACCCCAGUCCUGUGCAUGCUAGCCCAGCCCUCUACCUCUGAGCUGAAACCCCAGCCACAGGAUGAAUGUGUAAACUCUGAGACCAGGACUCGCUGUGUAUCUCUGGCUGGCUUGGAACAAACUCCCUGUGUAGGUCAGGCAGGCCUCAAACUCACAGAGACCCCCAUCUUGGCCUCCCGAGCUCUGGGACUAGUGUGCGCUGGCACGCGCAGUCGACUGUAGAUUCUUAAUUAGUGUAAAACUUGUGUUGCUUUUCCCCCUUGUCGUUAUUUUAUGUUUUCAGUUGGUUUAUUUUGGUUUUGUUUUGUUUUGAGACAGGGACUCACUAUAUAUCCCAAGCUCAUCAUGAAUUUGUGGUUUCUGUGGCAAUGCCCAGACCCCUACACCCACUUAUCUCCUUGUUAAAUAUAAUGUCCAUGGCAGUAUAAGCAGUCACUAGGCACCAAGUGUGCCGUCCUGUGGGAGGCAGGAAGCUGAGAGCGGGGAGGCUGAGUAGGAAGGGGAGAAAGGUAGAGCAGAGCACAAGAAAAGAACCCUGUCCUCAGAGUAGUCAACCUCUCUGUAGAUUUGGUUCGAGACUAACACUGUAUCAUGUAUCCUUUCUGUCUCCAGGAAGGAUUUAAUGCCCUGGAGCCUUUUCUUCCCAUCCUCAUUUCCAACUAUAAUCCAAAGGAAUUUGAAAGUUCCUUUCAGUAUUACUUGGAGAACAACUGGCUUCAGCAUGAGAAAGCUUCAACAGAGGAAGGGAGGAAGGAGCUGAAGUUCCUGAGUAACUGCAACCCUGAGCAGCUAGAGCGGCUCUGCGCCUCACUGUGAGUGCGGACAUGGAGCG
rnacentral:lncRNA from 1 species